AACGAACGCUGGCGGCAGGCCUCAUACAUGCAAGUCGAGCGGACGGACCCCUUCGGGGCGAGUUAGCGGCGAACGGGUGAGUAACAGGUGGAUGAUCUGCCUCCCGGUGGGGGAUAACGGCUGGAAACGGCCGCUAAUACCGCAUUCGGUUGAUGCGUUGCGGCGCAUCAAAGAAAGGCGCUUCACGGCGCUGCCGGGAGAUGAGUCCGCCCCCCAUUAGCUAGUUGGCGGGAUAACAGCCCACCAAGGCUUCGAUGGGUAGCCGAACUGAGAGGUUGAUCGGCCACACUGGAACUGAGACACGGUCCAGACACCUACGGGUGGCAGCAGUAGGGAAUAUUGGGCAAUGGGCGAAAGCCUGACCCAGCCAUGCCGCGUGAGUGACGAAGGUCCUAUGGAUUGUAAAGCUCUUUUCUGAGGAAAGAACAUCCGGGGUAGGAAAUGACCCCGGCUUGACGGUACCUCAGGAAUAAGGAACGGCUAACUCCGUGCCAGCAGCCGCGGUAAU
rnacentral:rRNA from 1 species